UACGGGGGGGGCAAGCGUUGUUCGGAAUUACUGGGCGUAAAGGGCUCGUAGGUGGCCAACUAAGUCAGACGUGAAAUCCCUCGGUUUAACCGGGGAACUGCGUCUGAUACUGGAUGGCUAGAGUUUGGGAGAGGGAUGCGGAAUUCCAGGUGUAGCGGUGAAAUGCGUAGAUAUCUGGAGGAACACCGGUGGCGAAGGCGGCAUCCUGGACCAACACUGACGCUGAGGAGCGAAAGCCAGGGGAGCAAACGGG
rnacentral:rRNA from 1 species